rnacentral:rRNA from 1 species
UACGAAGGAUUCGAGCGUUAUCCGGAUUUAUUGGGCUUAAAGGGUGCGUAGGUGGACUAAUAAGUCAGUGGUGAAAGCCCGCAGCUUAACUGCGGAACUGCCAUUGAUACUGUUAGUCUUGAGUACAGUUGAGGUGGGCGGAAUGUGUCAUGUAGCGGUGAAAUGCUUAGAUAUGACACAGAACACCGAUUGCGAAGGCAGCUCACUAAGCUGUAACUGACACUGAGGCGCGAAAGCGUGGGGAGCAAACAGG